rfam:Vigna radiata var. radiata cultivar VC1973A chromosome 5, whole genome shotgun sequence
AGAGUACAUUUGAGCCAAGGAUGACUUGCCGGCAUCUGCUACAAAAGCAGCUAGUUUUACUCUUUUGAGGAUGUUGCUGGCGAGACAUCUUGGCUCACUUUUGCUCU